GGAAUUUUGCGCAAUGGGCGAAAGCCUGACGCAGCAACGCCGCGUGUGUGAUGAAGGUCUUCGGAUUGUAAAGCACUUUCGACCGGGACGAAAACCCGUUAGCUAACAUCCAACGGCCUGACGGUACCGGGAGAGGAAGACCCGCCUAAAUCUGUGCCAGCAGCCGCGGUCAUACAGAGGGUGCAAGCGUUGUUCGGAAUUAUUGGGCGUAAAGCGCGUGUAGGCGGCUUUGCAAGUCGGGUGUGAAAGCCCUCAGCUCAACUGAGGAAGUGCGCCCGAAACUGCAGAGCUUGAGUGCCGGAGAGGGUGGCGGAAUUCCCCAAGUAGAGGUGAAAUUCGUAGAUAUGGGGAGGAACACCGGUGGCGAAGGCGGCCACCUGGACGGUAACUGACGCUGAGACGCGAAAGCGUGGGGAGCAAAC
rnacentral:rRNA from 1 species